CUGGGAGUGGGGAGUGUGCACAGGUGGAGAGUGUGGUGUGGACGGGAGUGGGGAGCGUGCACAGGUGGAGAAUGUGGUGUGGCUGGGAGUGGGGAGCGUGCACAGGUGGAGAGAGUGGUGUGGCUGGGAGUGGGGAGCGUGCACAGGUGGAGAGAGUGGUGUGGCUGGGAGUGGGGAGCGUGCACAGGUGGAGAGUGUGGUGUGGCUGGGAGUGGGGAGCGUGCACAGGUGGAGAGUGUGGUGUGGCUGGGAGUGGGGAGCGUGCACAGGUGGAGAGAGUGGUGUGGCUGGGAGUGGGGAGCGUGCACAGGUGGAGAGAGUGGUG
rnacentral:lncRNA from 1 species